GGCAGAUCCAUUUUCUGCCACCGAAUACAUUAGCAUGGGAUAAUGGAAUAGGACCCUGUCCUCCUAUUUUCAGUUGGUUUUGGCAGCGCGAGGACUAGGGUAAUGAUUAAUAGGGAUAGUUGGGGGCAUUAAUAUUUAAUUGUCAGAGGUGAAAUUCUUGGAUUUAUGAAAGAUUAACUUCUGCGAAAGCAUCUGCCAAGGAUGUUUUCAUUAAUCAAGAACGAAAGUUAGGGGAUCGAAGACGAUCAGAUACCGUCGUAGUCUUAACCAUAAACGAUGCCGACCAGCGAUUAGGAGACGUUGAAUACAAAACACCACCAUCGGCGCGGUCGUCCUUGGCGUCUGUCCCUUUCAACGGGGGCAGGCGCGAGGGCGGUUUAGCCCGGUGGCACCGGUGAAUGACUCCCCUAGCAGCUUGUGAGAAAGAGA
rnacentral:rRNA from 1 species